rnacentral:rRNA from 1 species
UACGUAGGGUGCAAGCGUUGUCCGGAAUUAUUGGGCGUAAAGAGCUCGUAGGCGGUCUGUCGCGUCUGCUGUGAAAACUCGGGGCUUGACCCCGGGCCUGCAGUGGGUACGGGCAGACUAGAGUGCGGUAGGGGAGACUGGAAUUCCUGGUGUAGCGGUGAAAUGCGCAGAUAUCAGGAGGAACACCGGUGGCGAAGGCGGGUCUCUGGGCCGUAACUGACGCUGGAGGAGCGAAAGCGUGGGGAGCGAACAGG